rnacentral:lncRNA from 1 species
AUUUAAUGCUCCAUCAGUGAUUUUUAAUUUUAUACCAAUCUUUAUUUCUGUGCCGGUGAUAUAGUGUGAUAUUCUUACUGAGGUAGUGUAGCUCAUCCUUUAUUUAACCAUUUCAGAUCAAGAGAACCAGGUUCCAGAGCUAGAUCCGCAAGAAGAUUGCGAGUAGAUGCUAGAUAUUUUCUUUUUUUCAUUUGUUUCCUUAUUUCUCGUGUUUCUUUCAAAGAAUUGAUUCCGUAAUACUGUUCGAUACUUUUAAGUUAUUAUGUAAGAAUUAUAAACUUUAACCUUUUAUUUCGCUUCUGUACUUAAGUUAUUAUAUAUUUUCUUUUAGAUUUCCGGAGUCGUUAUACUUUAUGCACGGAUCUCUCUUUGUUCUCACGCACGAGAUCUCCCUCCCACAGAACGAGUCUCUCCCUUUUUGUGGGCGGAGAAUGGGAGCCCUGCACGCCUCUUCUUCCUUCAUCCCUGGCGUGCAAGUGUGUUCUUCUUUUCCUCCUUCUUCGGCUUCCAAAGGCGUGCACGCCUCUGGUUGCC